UUUUAACAAAUUUACAACGAGUGAACAAAUGUACAAGUUUUUUAACAAAUUUACAAGUGUUUAAACAAAUUUACAAUGAGCGAACAAAAUUACAAGUUUUAAAACAAAUUUACGUUUAUUACGGAAAGGGUAGGUACAACACGCUGACGUCACGCAUCUGAGCCUCCGGUGAGAAACCCGGAAGUAUCGCCGUGAAUCACAUGAGAGUUGUGAAUGCGAUGUUGUGUAUUAGGCUGUACAUAAUAUUAACGGAAAGAGAGUGAUAAUAUAUAACAUUUCAUCGAUUCCGAAGUGACUAAAAGGGAUAUUGGACCUUAUUUUCAGAUUACAGACAACACGAGAGGGUGCUUCAAACUUUUUGGACUGCAUUCUUCGUUCGCUCCCGGGGUUACAUAGACUGAAACGGGGAAGCGUGACGAGUUUGUUUACAUGGUGCUGUAAACUCCAACCCAGGAGGACACUUCAGAGGAAUCACAGGGAUAACAUGGUGUGAUUUUUUUUUUGUCAAAACCAGAACUGACUUCCGAAUCCACCUGGAACGCAUUUACUUUGAUGGAGAUUUGGGCGGAGGCUAAACCCUCCAAAUAGUAUAUUUAGAGAAAUGGAAGUCAGUAAAAAUUAAGUUGGACUCAUUGUUUUUAACAACUGGCUACCUAACACAUGCUUAUAAACCCAGGAAUAGCACACACACACACUUCUAACAGACAUGCAAUGCACACAUUAGAUACGUGUUAAGAAAAAUAACUGUACAGUUUUAGAACAACUCAUUUAUACAUUAAAUAAACUUAAUUUCACUCAUUGUUCAAAA